GUCUCUCCGCCUGUUAAGGAGCGAGCAUGUCCCAUUUACCCGCGACAUAUUAUACACCAGUGUUUCAUAAAUAUCAGGCUGUUUGUCAAAGACGUGAGGCUUAUCCUAACAGGUUAGGAGACAAUGAUGAGCCUGACUCUACUAUUUUGCCUGCUGUCUUUUCAAUUUCCUUUUGUUUUUCCUGCAAGAAACAUCUCUCUGAAGUGCGUGCAAGAUACUGAUGAAUUCCUUUCCGAUCUGAAUUCAGUGAAGCCCAAAGAAUACGCUCUAAGAAUGUAUGACUCUCUGGGGAAGCUUGGGAGCAACACUUUCAAUGGAAACAAUGGACAGGCUGGGAUCAUACAUGGAGUGUCUUUCCACCCCUGCUCCCAAGGGGAACUUCCGAGGGUGGUACUGCAAGCUUCAUAUACUGCAGGAUGGGGCUGACUACAGUGUGGGCGUGUGUGUCCCUGAUUCUUGUGCUGAAGAGGAUGUGACUCUGAUGUCUCGGCUGGAUACUUUAAGAUUCAGAAAUACUUCAUUUUUGGCCCCUUCCCUCUUUCUUUUUACAAUAAAUUCUUCCUCCUUGUCUGGUGGGAGUGUGACCAGAUGUGCUGCUGGAAAGAUCCCCCUGGACACAUUUGCUGCCGUAUGUCUGUUCAUCACCUUGCUGGGUCUCAUCCUCCCUCCGGCUGGAACAGUCUGCGUGGCAGCUAGGGAAUGGGGGUCAGCCUGCAGGACAUCGCGGGAACACGGGGAACCUCUGGCCACUUACGGGAGUCUGCCACUGAGCGAGGCGGAGAGCAAUGAACAAAGAAGCAGAAUCCCACGGACACACUGCCGGGCACAUCUCCUCCUGUCAGCAGCCUCCAGCAGAGGAAAAAGGUUUCUAGGAGCCGUGGCUCAUGCUCUGGAGUGCUUUUCUUGGCAGAAGAAUGUGCCAGCCAUCUGGACUACAAAGGCACCAGGUGGCACCUGCUCUGCACUGAAUGGCAUUCGUGUCUUGAGUCUUCUUUGGAUCAUCUCGGGACACACCAGUCAGAUGACUGCAUGGCUGUCUUUGGAUAAUGUGCUUGAAUGGAACAGCAGAGUGCUUAGAAACCCACUGUGUGUUUACUCUUGGAGUGGUCCCUUCUAUCUUGGAGUUGAUACAUUUUUCCUGAUCAGUGGUUGGUUAAGUGCAAGUUCGUUUUUAAAGAUGCAUCAGAAUUCAGACAAAGGAAUAACCCCCAAAGGCAUACUCAGAUACUUUCUCAGUCACCUGGUAAGGUUGCAGCCUCUUCACCUGUAUUCAAUGUGCUUGUUGGUUGGACUGUUCUCUCUUGUUCCCUGGGGACCUGUCUGGGAAAUGCCCAAAUUCCACUGGGAUAACUGCCGGCAAGCAUGGUGGACGAAUCUGCUGUUGCUAAAUAACUUUGUGUCGGUCAAGAAUGCGUGCAAUGGCUGGACCUGGUACCUUGCCAAUGACUUCCAGUUCCACCUCACCACACCAGUGAUUAUCUUCAUCCAUGUAAAGAGUACACAGAUCCUCAUCCUCCUUGGGGCCAUGCUGUUCUUGGCAUCUUUCACAGCCACUGCUCUGAUCACCUUGGCAUAUAAACUUCCUGUCGUGGCUCCAUCAGAAACCAGUGAAGAGGCGAUUGUAUUGUAUUUCGUGGAGUACUACACAAAGCCCUACUGCCGAUUUGGGCCAGUUCUUGUGGGCCUCUUUCUGAGCAUUUACAUGCACCAAAACCACCAGGAAAACAUUCUCAGAACCAAGAUGCAGGUCCUGCUGGGGUGGAGCUGCUCCCUGGUCACCCUAUUUGCGGUGGCCGCUCUGGCAUACAUGGUGGAUGACUCCUCUGCUUCCUCUCUAGUAGCUGCAGCUCUCUACCAAGCCCUCCACCGGACCCUGUGGGCGGCGGCUGUGGGCUGAGUCCUCUUUGCGUGCCACGGAGGAUAUGGAGGUCUGGUGAACCGUGUGCUUUCUUGGGACAUCUGGAGUUUCCUGUCCAGCAUCAGUUAUGCUCGCUACUUGGUGCAUCCGAUUCUGAUCAUCCUUUACAAUGGCCUUCAGGAAACACUUAUUCACCACACUGACACCAACAUGUUCUAUCUUUUCUCUGGACACCGUGUGCUGACCUUCGUCACUGGGCUGGCCCUGACGCUGUUCAUUGAGAAACCAUGUCAGGAACUGAAGCAGCACCUGCUGGGCCAUGAAUGUUCUGGUUAAAACACAAAAGAAUGGAUGGGCCUUGUUGGUAAUGACGAGCAAAGAUGAGGUGGCCUUAUCUAGGUGAUGAAUGCUUGUAUUCCCGAGAAGGGGUGUGAAUCUCAUUUUGUGAAAGUUUAAUAUAUACAUUUUCUUUGCAUUUAAUAUGUGAAAGAGUUCUUAGUUCUUAUGAUGUAAGAGAGUUCUCUAAAUUUUUAGUAGCACAAUAAUAAACUUCUGUUGUACCAUUUUAGCAAACAACAACAACAACAACAACAGAAACUGGAUUUCUUUUUGGUUUAAACUCCAUUUGAUUGUCUGUAUCAAUGAUCACAGGAAAUGAUUAAAUGUCGUGCAUUUAAUGUAA